GCGUCGAUAUAACGACGCAUUCUCUUUAAUGUCACACAUGCGCACUAGCCAGCACUAUCUUUUAAGGCCAGGAGGCUUUAUUGUUAGCCUAUUUAUAACAAAAACAAAACGUUAUUCACGUUGCUUAACGUAACGACUCAUUAUAAAUAUGCUGUUAAGUCCCCACAAACUAAUACUGAGCUCUUUUGGGCUGUUAAAGUCAAGUUUUGAUUUUAGCAAGUCUUUUUCUGUUUGAUUGAAUUAAAACGAACCCUGUAAACAUUGACAUAAAUCUGUCCAGAGCGUGAUUUGCGCACAACAACUAGGCCUACAACGUUUUGAAUAGUUUCAAAUAUUUCAUUCAUAAAUCCCCAGACCCCCUCCCCCUACUACACCAAUGAUGUCAUUUUAUUGCGACCACUCUCUGGAUUGUGGAUUUUACGGACUGCAUUCCCAUGUACUGGGUUUAGCUGGACCGUAUUGGACUGGAGGUGACAGGAUAUUUUGUACCUGCUUCGGACUGGUUCUGUCAUUAACCUACUGAGCUGGUGCUUCUGUCCCAGGUAAAAUGUGUUUGAACUUACAUUUGCAUCUAUACAUGAAGUAGGCAGCCUAGAGCAGGAGGCGGGCGUCAGAUCAGAGGGUUGCAGGCAUCUCCAUCGCAUCGCUCCUAGGCAUCUGAAAGUGUACCGUUGCGCACAGAUCAUGCUGGUAACGAGUUAUUCAAAGGGUCUACCAAUCAUGGCAAAAACAGAAAUCCAGCUCCUCAGCCCAGGCAGUGCCAACAACCCAGCUGAUCCAGGAGCUGCAGCGAGGGGUAGUGAUGACACUUCGGGCACCCCGACUGCCCUCUUCAACCAUUCCCAUGGAAUUCAUCCUGUCCAGCCUCCGUCAGAUAAUCCAGCCCUCCCCCUCCUACUUCCAGAGACUAAUUUGCAGGUUCUAAUGGGUAUGUGCUAAGGAGAUGAUGAGUGAACACGCUGCCAGUUUGGUUGCAGUGUGUCAACGAAUUCCAUAGAUUCAUCAUCACUAUGUGGGGUGGAAGCUGCACAGACUACAACAAGGCUUCUGGGACCCCACUCCCCUCAAGCAAGACAUUUACCACCUGCUUCACCUAUGAAGGACUGAUUAUUGGCAGUGAUACCACAACGCAUACAAGCUGUUCAGCCUGCUGCCCUCCGGGUAGAGGUACAGGAGUAUCUGCUUCCGCAACUCCAGACUCGCCAACAUCUUCAUCUACCAGACUGUCAUGCCGAAUUGUCCCUCCUCUCUCCCAUCCAAGGAUGCCGAAUUAUGACCAAGUGACUGAAGAACUGCCAUACGUCUUCACUUGGUCAUGGCAUGACCAGAGGCUGCAUGCAGACUCACAGUAUAAUUCUACACGAUCCACUAUAAGUAAUAUUUUAUUUCAGGUGGUUUGAA